GUUGGUGUAGCAAAUCACCACCUUGCACUGGAGGUACACGGAUUCUGAGGCCCGCAAGAACUGGAAGGCCUUAAAUCUGAAUCGUACAUAGUAACUGCUGGUGCUCCAGACCUGAAAGGUGCUGUCCAUAUUACACCUAAAGGCAGGCGCUGUAGUCCACCUGGUUGGAGAAACGCAGCACCAAAGCAUCUAAAAGGUGGAUGCCUGCUGAUUUUCACUCACUCCAGGAAUGUGAACUCCAGGAAGAUCUGUUGGUCGUGUGAUGUCCUGAGGACCGUGCUACAGUAAGUGUUGCUGUCGUAGUAGUUGGGAUGGUUUGGGCUGGUGAAGAUG